UAAGUUCCUUGGAACAGGACGUCACAGAGGGUGAGAAUCCCGUACGUGGCCGGCGGCCUUCGCCGUGUAAAGCCCCUUCGACGAGUCGAGUUGUUUGGGAAUGCAGCUCUAAUUGGGAGGUAAAUUUCUUCUAAAGCUAAAUACUGGCCAGAGACCGAUAGCGCACAAGUAGAGUGAUCGAAAGAUGAAAAGCACUUUGGAAAGAGAGUCAAAAAGCACGUGAAAUUGUUGAAAGGGAAGCGCUUGCAGCCAGACUUGCCUGUAGUUGCUCAUCCGGGCUCCUGCCCGGUGCACUCUUCUGCUGGCAGGCCAGCAUCAGUUUGGGCGGCCGGAUAAAGGCCUCGGGAACGUAGCUCCCUUCGGGGAGUGUUAUAGCCCGGGGUGUCAUGCGGCCAGCCUGGACUGAGGUCCGCGCGUCUGCUAGGAUGCUGGCGUAAUGGCUGUAAGCGGCCCGUCUUGAAACACGGACCAAGGAGUCUAACAUCUAUGCGAGUGUUUGGGUGUCAAGCCCGGGCGCGUAAUGAAAGUGAACGGAGGUGGGAACCCCCCGGGGUGCACCAUCGACCGAUCCUGAUGUCUUCGGAUGGAUUUGAGUAAGAGCAUAGCUGUUGGGACCCGAAAGAUGGUGAACUAUGCCUGAAUAGGGUGAAGCCAGAGGAAACUCUGGUGGAGGCUCGCAGCGGUUCUGACGUGCAAAUCGAUCGUCAAAUUUGGGCAUA
rnacentral:rRNA from 1 species